rnacentral:rRNA from 1 species
UCUGGUAGUUAUGGCGAGAAGGUCACACCCGUUCCCAUCCCGAACACGGUAGUUAAGCUUCUCUGCGCCAAUGGUAGUUGGGGGCUUA